rnacentral:tRNA from 1 species
AGUCCUGUAGCUCAGUUGGUUAGAGCACUACACUGAUAAUGUAGGGGUCCCCCGUUCAAAUCGGGGCAGGACUACCA